ACAUGCAAGUCGAGCGGUAACAGGUGUAGCAAUACAUGCUGACGAGCGGCGAACGGGUGAGUAAUGUUUCGGAAUCUGCCCGAUGGUGGGGAAUAACCAGCCGAAAGGUUGGCUAAUACCGCAUAAGCCCUACGGGGGAAAGCGGGGGAUCGCAAGACCUCGCGCCGAUGGAUGAGCCGAAACCGGAUUAGCUAGUUGGUAGGGUAACGGCCUACCAAGGCGACGAUCCGUAGCUGGUCUGAGAGGACGACCAGCCACACUGGGACUGAGACACGGCCCAGACUCCUACGGGAGGCAGCAGUGGGGAAUAUUGGACAAUGGGGGAAACCCUGAUCCAGCGACGCCGCGUGUGUGAAGAAGGCCUGCGGGUUGUAAAGCACUUUUAGUGGGGAUGAAAAGCUCAGGGCUAAUACCGCUGAGUCUUGACCUAACCCAAAGAAAAAGCACCGGCUAACUCUGUGCCAGCAGCCGCGGUAAUACAGAGGGUGCAAGCGUUAAUCGGAAUUACUGGGCGUAAAGCGUGCGUAGACGGUUAUGUAAGUCGGGUGUGAAAGCCCCGGGCUCAAC
rnacentral:rRNA from 1 species